AGAUGGAGGCCGACAGGAAUGCCACCACUCCAUUCACUCAUGUUCCAUCCAGCAAAUGAAGUAUCACGAGCACACGCCAGAGGAACCAAAUUCUCUAGGGGGAGACAGCAGUGAAGAAAGCAGACAAAGUCUCUGAACUCCUGUGUCUUCUAUUCAAAUGGGGAAGAUGAACAAUGAACAGAUAACACAAAUAGAAGAAUGCGUGACCUAUCCAAUCCUUCCUCUCAUGGAAACACCAACUCAUCCAUGCCCUCUGUGCUGAAACUUCGUCUCAGCCUGCUGGAAUCACCUGCACCCCAUGGGAACUGUAGCCAUAUCUUCAGUCCUGUGAGCCCCCGUCAUGGCCUGUCACAGGAGUAAAUGAGGAGUAAGGCCCAGAAUACUCAGUACCUCUCAAUGACCCUCAGACGCUGUAGGAAGAGGAUUGGUUCACCUUUUAACCCAGAAUUUCUCACAUUGAAUGGACAGGAUGCAUUCCAAGAGGCCAGAGUAUGUGCAUCUCAGCUCCUGAUGGUUUCCACCACCACCAUUACUUUCUCUAUGUCAAGAUACCUGGGAAGCCGGAGACAGGCAGCCCACGCACUGCAGUGAUGAAAGGACUCUCCAACGAGGCAGACAGGAACCCUGCAGUUGGGAAUACAGAGCCUUCUCCUAUGGGAAGACCACAGGAAAAAGAAACACCCAAGGGGGAGGCAUGAGUCUUUGUGAAAGUUGUUUUAAGGCAGAGUAUCAUAUCGCAUCAAAACCGCUCCAUAAGUCCUGCCACUCCACGUGCAAUGCCAUGAACUUGAAGAAACUGCUGGUAAGAGAAAGCAAAUGCUGUGACCAGGCAACUGCUGCAAACCAAUGGGCUUUGGGGAACUGUGCUUCCCUUCAGAAAGGAAAGAGUAUUUAACGAUGAAAAGGAAGGUGGAUUUUCCCUACUCAUGCUUCCUAGAGAUUUGGUGAGGAUUUGUUGAGUCAUGGGACAUUUCAGCUUGCCAAGCUUCUUUAGCUUUAGCACGUGUUUCCACCAGUGUCCCUUAACGGAGAGGAUGACUAUGUCACUGAAGAAGUGGAGGGGCUGAAAAUGGACUCAGCUCUUGGCCCCUGUAGAGACUGCAAGACUCCGUGCACAACGUGACAGUCGGGGCUUCCUCUGAGCACUGCGCCGUUCAGCCCUAUUGCGCAACCUGCCACGCCCUGUUACUGUAAAUGGAACACCGGCUGUGAGCUGGUCAAGGCCCUGCCAUGACAAGGCCACUUGCAUAGGACUCCAAAUUAAAAAAAAAAAAAAGGCCUUUCUUAUUGACUGAAAAACUGGUUGUGUUUUUCAUAUUUUUCACUUUCUGGAGCUGAAUUAUUAAUAGGCAAAAAUUAGGUGGGGCUUCAUUGAUAUUCUCACCAGCUUUUACAAACCAAGAAUCGGAAAGUGUGCCUCGGUGAGUUGCCUUUUGUUAGCAGUGUGGAGAUGCAGGCAAAAGUGAUCAGCGUGGUUUGUAUUUGCAGCCGCCCCUCCCCUCUCUUCAGAGUCUCUCCUUCCCGGCUGCAAGGUGCGUCUUUAAUGUGCGACACUGACAAGGCGUUUCAGCCAUGCAGCUAAUUAAUAUCAUGCCGAGGCUCAAUGUGACAGGUCCUUCAGACUCAUAAAUCAGAAACCACUAACAAAUGUCGUUCCUUUUCUGAUCUCUUUCUCUUGCUUUUUAAUAUGUUGAUUUACUUUCAGUAUGCAUAACCAAAAAAGAAACAAACCAAUAAAAAUACUGAUGAAAA
ensembl:lncRNA LINC00607 long intergenic non-protein coding RNA 607